GACGAACGCUGGCGGCGUGCCUAACACAUGCAAGUCGAACGGGGUGAUUUUCUUCGGAGGAUCACUUAGUGGCGAACGGGUGAGUAACGCGUGAGAAACCUGCCUUUCAGUGGGGGACAACAGUUGGAAACGACUGCUAAUACCGCAUAACGUAUUUUGGGGGCAUCCCUGAAAUACCAAAGCUUUAUGUGCUGAAAGAUGGUCUCGCGUCUGAUUAGCUAGAUGGCGGGGUAACGGCCCACCAUGGCGACGAUCAGUAGCCGGUCUGAGAGGAUGAACGGCCACAUUGGGACUGAGAUACGGCCCAGACUCCUACGGGAGGCAGCAGUGGGGAAUAUUGGGCAAUGGGGGAAACCCUGACCCAGCAACGCCGCGUGAAGGAAGAAGGGCCUUCGGGUUGUAAACGUUCUUUUAGUAGGGACGAAGAACGUGACGGUACUACAGAAAAAGCAACGGCGUAACUACGUG
rnacentral:rRNA from 1 species